ACGAAGGGGGCUAGCGUUGUUCGGAUUUACUGGGCGUAAAGAGCGCGUAGGCGGCGCAAUAAGUCGGGAGUGAAAGCCUGGGGCUCAACCUCAGAACUGCUUCCGAAACUGUUGUGCUAGAGUUUGGUAGGGGGUGAUAGAAUUCCUAGUGUAGAGGUGAAAUUCUUAGAUAUUAGGAGGAAUACCGGUGGCGAAGGCGAUCACCUGGGCCAUAACUGACGCUGAUGCGCGAAAGCGUGGGGAGCAAACAGG
rnacentral:rRNA from 1 species